GAGCUUACAUUUUAAUUUGCAUAAGGACAGUCUAUUUGAAGAUGUGUGUGAUAAGGAUGAUUGCCGUUAUAAGUAUUACUGAUUUCUAAGCACCUAUCAGUGUCAUCAAAGGAAUUUACAGAACAAUGACUGGACACUUCAUUGAUGAGUUUAUCCUAAAACACCUAUCUAUAGAUGAACUGGUUUAUUGUGAGCGAAACGGUUAUACUCCGCCCAGUUAAGUGAAAUAAAUUGAGUAAUAAAUAAUGAGUAAAUCACAAAACAG
rnacentral:lncRNA from 1 species